GCAGGCAUCAGUUUAUCAGGCGGCCUGCGGUGCACUUACAGCUCAAACUGUGAAGCCAUAUUGUUGUAAGGUUGAUGACAAAUGAGGUCAUGGCCUGUUUCAGUAUGAAGUGGGGGAAGGGGAAGCUUGCUUUCACCAAGAUCAAUCUGUACACUGUUGUCACAGAGAGUGUCCAGAAAACAUCAAAAGAGACGGGGCAAAUACUGCAGCAGCCACUGCCUUUUGUUUAAAAUAUGCCCCAGCAGAGCCGUCGCAAGAAG